rnacentral:tRNA from 1 species
GAGGGUGUAGCUCAAGUGGUAGAGCAUGUGCUUAGCGUGCACGAGGUCUGGGUUUCAAUCCCCAGUACCUCCU